rnacentral:rRNA from 1 species
GACGAACGCUGGCGGCGUGCUUAACACAUGCAAGUCGAACGGAAAGGCCCUGCUUUUGUGGGGUGCUCGAGUGGCGAACGGGUGAGUAACACGUGAGUAACCUGCCCUUGACUUUGGGAUAACUUCAGGAAACUGGGGCUAAUACCGGAUAGGAGCUCCUGCUGCAUGGUGGGGGUUGGAAAGUUUCGGCGGCUGGGGAUGGACUCGCGGCUUAUCAGCUUGUUGGUGGGGUAGUGGCUUACCAAGGCUUUGACGGGUAGCCGGCCUGAGAGGGUGACCGGCCACAUUGGGACUGAGAUACGGCCCAGACUCCUACGGGAGGCAGCAGUGGGAAUAUUGCACAAUGGGCGGAAGCCUGAUGCAGCAACGCCGCGUGCGGGAUGACGGCCUUCGGGUUGUAAACCGCUUUCGCCUGUGACGAAGCGUGAGUGACGGUAAUGGGUAAAGAAGCACCGGCUAACUACGUG